AUUGAACGCUGGCGGCAGGCCUAACACAUGCAAGUCGAACGAGUGGCGGACGGGUGAGUAAUGUCUGGGAAACUGCCUGAUGGAGGGGGAUAACUACUGGAAACGUUAGCUAAUACCGCAUACCAUCAGAUGUGCCCAGAUGGGAUGAGCUUGUUGGUGGGUUAACGGCUCACAAAGGCGACAAUCCCUAGCUGGUCUGAGAGGAGUACCAGCCAACCUGGAACUGAGACACGGUCUAGACUCUGACGGGAGGCAGCCGUGGGGAAUAUUGCGCAAUGGGCGCAAGCCUGAUGCAGCCAUGCCGCGUGUAUGAAGAAGGCCUUCGGGUUGUAAAGUACUUUCAGCGGGGAGGCGUUACCCGCAGAAGAAGCACCGGCUAACUCCGUGCCAGCAGCCGCGGUAAUUC
rnacentral:rRNA from 1 species